UAAGUAAGUGGUGGAAAUUAAACCAAAUGGGAUAUCUUUAGUAAUUGCGAAUGAACAAGGAUAUGCUUAGCUUGACAAAUGGAGCUAUUGGCUUUGAAUUGUAUUUGUGGAAUGUAUUACCAACAGAGGUGCAGGUGCCAGCCUAUUAAAUAAAGCGUCAAUGAGGGUGAGAAUCCUGUUUGUCAUGUGCAGCCCUUUGUGCACGGUGUAUAUUUGCUGAGUCACACUCCUUGGCAUUGGAAUGCAAAGUGGGUGGUAAGUUUCAUGUAAAGGUAAACAUGCAAUUGAGACUGAUAGCACACAAGUACCAUGAGGGAAAUAUGAAAAGGACUUUGAAAAGAGAAUUAAAUGAGUUUGUAUUUGCUGAACACAAAGUAAACAGACUUGAUUUGCUUGGUGGGAGUGUUGCACUUGCUUGACAAGAGCUUUGGGCUGUGGGUGUAAUGAUUCUUUCUUUGCAUGCCAGUUUCUAUUUGUACAUCUGAUUACCUUUGCACAUGAAUGAUAAGUCUCCUGUGGGGGGUGGAUUGCAUGUGCAUGUAAUGAUUUGUGUUUUGAUAAAUGUGUCUGGUGUAUGUGUGUGUUCCUGUGCUUGGGGAUGCUUCCUUCCUUGGACUUACAAGCCCUGACACACACAUGCUGGCAAAAUGCUUCUGCUUGACCCG
rnacentral:rRNA from 1 species